CAAGAGCGUAUCUUAAUGUUGUUGCAGUUAAAAAGCUCGUAGUCGAAUAUCUGGCCGGGAAAACCGAACUUCGUUUGGAGCUUUCCUAGGCCAUCCGCCUGAAAAAUUAGUGAUCGUUAAUAGCCUUUGCUUAUGGAUCAGGCACUUUACUUUGAAGAAAUUAGAGUGUUUCAGGCAGGCUAUCGCUUGAAUACACCAGCAUGGAAUAAUGGAAUAGGACUACGGUCUCUUUGUUGGUUUGAGGGACUGCAGUAAUGAUUAAUAGGGAUAGUUGGGGGCAUUAGUAUUUAAUUGUCAGAGGUGGAAUUCUCGGAUUUGUUAAAGACUAACUUAUGCGAAAGCAUUUGCCAAGGAUGUUUUCAUUAAUCAAGAACGAAAGUUAGGGGAUCAAAGAUGAUUAGAUACCAU
rnacentral:rRNA from 1 species